UUCCCAAUAGCUCAGUUGGUAAAGAAUCUGCCUGCAGUGCAAGGAGACCCCAGUUCAAUCCUGGGUGGGGAAG
rnacentral:tRNA from 1 species